UGUAACGACAUGCCAGGACUUUAUCUCUCUGUUUGUCCUGGAAUAGAUGACCCUCUAUUGAACGUUUUCUUAAAGAGCAUUGCUCUAUUGAGCAUUGAACAUUGUCAGACCAAUGGGAAAAUGAUUAAACCAAAAGCAAUGGCUUCAGGAACGUUUGGGAUUUGAGUGAACGGACCGUCGUSUACCCAUCACAAUGGCGCCAGGCUCAGACUCAUUCUGACAACUGGAGUUCUUGUUUGCUCCAUGGCAGAACUCGAGGUUCACGGCCUUAUGGCGGAGACAUGGGAACUCGAUGAGUCGGCGUCGAUGAGUGUGCCGCUUCUCUGGCUGAGUAUGUGGUUCCGAAGAUGACAUAGGACAGGUAUGUGARUGGAGUCCAACUCAUAGUUGAGGCAUAAUUUUGCAAUUGGAACAAAAUGUUUUGAUCAAUAAAUGACUUUAUUUCGUGGAAUUGCUCUCCACCAUCACCUCAGCGUUCAUGCCCUCACUGACAAGACAGAGGUAAUUGUCUUGUCUGAAGAAAUUGUGAUUGUCUUGAGUCUCUCAACUACAAUUUGCUUACAAUUCACAAGACGAACAGUACCCUUCCACUUAACUAUUCAAUUGCAUACCCGAGAGCUUUCCCGACAGCACAGUCAGACACGACAGGAUG